AGAAGUUUAGGUUAAUGUUAAACCAAAGGCCUUCAAAGCCUUAAAUAAAGGUUAAAAUCCUUUAACUUCUG
rnacentral:tRNA from 1 species